GCUUCGGUGGUGGAGUGUGUUACACGCUCCGCCUGCCGUGUGGGAGAUCCGGGUUCGAAUCCUGGCGGGGUCG
rnacentral:tRNA from 1 species